AGUGAACGCUGGCGGUAGGCCUAACACAUGCAAGUCGAACGGCAGCACAGUAAGAGCUUGCUCUUACGGGUGGCGAGUGGCGGACGGGUGAGGAAUACAUCGGAAUCUACUUUUUCGUGGGGGAUAACAUAGGGAAACUUACGCUAAUACCGCAUACGACCUACGGGUGAAAGCAGGGGAUCUUCGGACCUUGCGCGAUUGAAUGAGCCGAUGUCGGAUUAGCUAGUUGGCGGGGUAAAGGCCCACCAAGGCGACGAUCCGUAGCUGGUCUGAGAGGAUGAUCAGCCACACUGGAACUGAGACACGGUCCAGACUCCUACGGGAGGCAGCAGUGGGGAAUAUUGGACAAUGGGCGCAAGCCUGAUCCAGCCAUACCGCGUGGGUGAAGAAGGCCUUCGGGUUGUAAAGCCCUUUUGUUGGGAAAGAAAAGCAGCAGGUGAAUACCCCGCUGUUCUGACGGUACCCAAAGAAUAAGCACCGGCUAACUUCGUG
rnacentral:rRNA from 1 species